GAACGAGAAAGUGGAGCAAUCCAUGAGUAAAGUGGCGACCGGGUGAGUAACACGUGACUAACCUGCCUCCGAGUGGGGAAUAACUCCGGGAAACCGGGGCUAAUACCGCAUAACAUCGCAAGAUCAAAGCAGCAAUGCGCUUGGAGAGGGGGUCGCGGCUGAUUAGCUAGUUGGUGGGGUAACGGCCCACCAAGGCGAAGAUCGGUAUCCGGCCUGAGAGGGCGCACGGACACACUGGAACUGAAACACGGUCCAGACUCCUACGGGAGGCAGCAGUGGGGAAUUUUGCGCAAUGGGGGAAACCCUGACGCAGCAACGCCGCGUGGAGGAUGAAGUCCCUUGGGAUGUAAACUCCUUUCGAUCGGGACGAUUAUGACGGUACCGGAAGAAGAAGCACCGGCUAACUCUGUG
rnacentral:rRNA from 1 species